AAUUUUUUGAGUACUUCUUAAAUGUGUUAAACAUGCUUUCAUCAUAGUCUACACCUGAUAAUUACAUUUUCUGGAAAUCUUCCAUAAUUUUCUCGGUUUUUGUUAGUUUUUAAUCUGUUGUUGUUACAGACUGUUUGCUCGUGUGUUUUAUAAUUUAAAGAUGUGAGUUUAUGUUUAUAUGAUUAGCAAUCUAUCUAGUUUAAGAUACAAAUCCUGAGGAUUUGUGUUUGUUGUGACCUUGUAUCCAAUGAUGUUCCCAAACUAGGAUCACUUGAUACCAGUUUAUACCACGUUAUAUCAGUUUAACUUUUUUGAGUUACACUGUCAAUAGAUAUCUAAAUCCCAAAUUCUUGUGAAAGUGUGAUGCUGAGUGAGCUUUUUUUUUUUUUAACACAGAAUCUAUUCUCAGAUAGACUUGUCCUGUCUCUUCUGUUACCAGCAAUUAUUUUUUAGUUUUCUUUUUUUUUUUCCCUUAUAGUGAAAACAUUGAGAGUAUCAGUUAUCUGCAGCAUUCUCCAUUACAAGUUUACAUCUUGUUAGGACUCAUGACCUGAAUCCUUUCUCAGGGAAAUUAAAAUGCAAAUUUCUUUGAUAAUGUGAUGACCAAAUGAUGACAAGUCAGAUAAGGCCUAAGUUUUAUUUUACUCCUUUUAACUCCAACAGUUAAAGAAAGAUUAUUUCCCCCUGGAAUUCAUAUGUUAAAACCCUAACACUCAAAAGUGACUAUAUUUAGACAUAGAGCCUUUAAGGAGAUAAUUAGGGUUAAAUGAGAUCAUGAGGGUGGGAUCCUUAUCCAGAUGGAAUGAUGUCCUUAUUAUGAGAAAAGACAGAGACUCUAGGGAUGUGUGCUCAAGAAGAAAAAACCAUGUGAGUACACAGGAAAAGCUGACCAUCUGCAAGUCAAGCAGAGAGGCUUCAGGGAAAACCAAACCUGCUGGCUCCUUGAUAAUGAACUUCUACCUUUGAGAAAUGUAAGAAAACAUAAACAACUUCAUAAGCCGAUUGCUAACCCAAGACUCAACAAAACAAGAAUUACACAGUAUUGAGUAAACUGAUUAGAAAACUCAAUUUG